GGAUAGUGUAUCCCCCUGUUAUAAACCACAUUGAAUGAAAAAUGGCCCCUUAGUUCUCAUAGCAGAAGAUGAAAAAUCCAUCCAAGCUAAAGAAAUUUUUUUUCUUUAAUUGGGUGGGGAAAGUAGGCACGGGAAAAUAAUAAACUAUCUUUAAUUGUAAUUUAGAAAGAUAUGACAAAGCUAUGAUGAUAGCAAAAUCAAUAAGAGGAAACACUAUAGUGCAAAUAUUGCAUGCUCUUUUAGGCCCAUAUUUCUCAAUUCACCACUACAACCCAUAAUAGGCAAUGUGAUAUAUUUUACAUGUGAAAUCUAGUAAAGACAACAAAACUACCUCUUCAGGCAUAUAUCAAAUUUUACAGCAGUAUUACAAUCUUACCUUAUCAACUGAGUUGGCAACAG
rnacentral:misc_RNA from 1 species